GUAAGUCGAAUUGGGGAAGUCAGUUAGGAGAAAAUAGUUAAAUCGAAGAUAAUCAUGAGAAACGAGAGAAAAACAAGAGCGCGUCAGGAGGGGAAAAAAUGCUCAAAUCGUCAGCGUCGUGCUCGGGUCGGCACCGUCACAGCUGUCGGGCUUCUGAUUGACAUGACGCUGCCUUGCGGAGAUAAAUUACGGGGAAUUCCCAGCAAACCACAAUAAGGGAAUUAGUUUUGGAGGUAUAAAUACAUAAUGAAGUUUGGGCAACAGAAUCACAAUACGAGAGGUUAAGUACACGGCGAAGAGAUUUGGGGUAACGUAGCUUGUGGAAGAAUAGUGAAAAUAUUCAAUAACACUGGAAAUGAAUGAUAUGAACAAAUAAGAAAAACAUCACAUUCAGCAAAAUUGUCAUCAAAUACAGGAUUGAUGACCAGUGAAUUAGACUACUGGAUGUUAUAAGCAUUGAGUAUUCACUCUGGAUUGAAGCACAACAUGAGACUUAUCACUAUCGAGAAGGUUCGUAUCGUCAGCGAAUAAUUUGGAAAAUAGAGUGGAGCUAUGUGCAAGAUCAUUAAUAUAAAUUAAGAACAGAGCCGGACCCAAGGACGAACCCUGGGGAACCCCAUGGGUCACAGAUUUGAAGAUUGGAAUUACUCUGGCAAUUUUCAGUGAAGAUGGAAAUAUCCCCAAUCGAAGUGAAUUAUUAAAAAACUCAGUUAUACAAGGUGCUAUGAUGUCUGCCACAUACUUAAGGAAACGACUGGGAAUGUUGUCAGCGCCAACCGCUUUACCCUCAUUGAGGCAUACUAUUUCCAUGGUCAGUUCGUUCACUGUUGCAGGACUUAAGAAUAUGGAUUGAUUUACACGCUUGCUUAGAAAUAUUUUAAAGCCAUCCAUAUCAUUGGAGAAUUUAGUACCAAGGUUGGACCCAACAGUGGAAAAAUAUUUAUUGAAUUCUUGUGCAAUCAAGGACUUAUCUUUAAUGGUUCUGCCAUUUUCCAAAUCAAUUUCAUUAACACUUUUGGUUUUUUUAUUUUUAGUAGAUGCUAUUUGAUUAACAAUUCGCCAAGUACACUUGGGGUUGCCUUUGUUUUGGGCAAUCAAUUUUUGAAAAUACAUUUGUUUAGCAUCUUCAA